rnacentral:piRNA from 1 species
UGAUGACAUCAUUUCUUAAUCCA